AGUGGCGAACGGGUGAGUAACACGUAGGUGACCUGCCUCAAAGACAGGGAUAACUGCUGGAAACGGCAGCUAAUACCUGAUGGGUUCGGUGAUUCGUUUCAUCGAGUAAAGGCUGAGGCGCUUUGAGAGGGACCUGCGGCCCAUCAGCUAGUUGGUAGGGUAAAGGCCUACCAAGGCGAAGACGGGUAGGGGGCGUGAGAGCGUGACCCCCCACACUGGGACUGAGACACGGCCCAG
rnacentral:rRNA from 1 species